UACGUAGGGUGCAAGCGUUAAUCGGAAUUACUGGGCGUAAAGCGUGCGCAGGCGGUUUUGUAAGACAGGUAGGUGAAAUCCCCGGGCUUACACUGGGAACUGCCUUUGUGACUGCAUAGCUGGAGUGCGGCAGAGGGGGAUGGAAUUCCGCGUGUAGCAGUGAAAUGCGUAGAUAUGCGGAGGAACACCGAUGGCGAAGGGCAAUCCCCCUGGGCCUGCACUGACGCUCAUGCACGAAAGCGUGGGGAGCAAACAGG
rnacentral:rRNA from 1 species